rnacentral:rRNA from 1 species
AGUGAACGCUGGCGGUAGGCCUAACACAUGCAAGUCGAACGGCAGCACAGUAAGAGCUUGCUCUUACGGGUGGCGAGUGGCGGACGGGUGAGGAAUACAUCGGAAUCUACUUUUUCGUGGGGGAUAACGUAGGGAAACUUACGCUAAUACCGCAUACGACCUACGGGUGAAAGCAGGGGAUCUUCGGACCUUGCGCGAUUGAAUGAGCCGAUGUCGGAUUAGCUAGUUGGCGGGGUAAAGGCCCACCAAGGCGACGAUCCGUAGCUGGUCUGAGAGGAUGAUCAGCCACACUGGAACUGAGACACGGUCCAGACUCCUACGGGAGGCAGCAGUGGGGAAUAUUGGACAAAGGGCGCAAGCCUGAUCCAGCCAUACCGCGUGGGUGAAGAAGGCCUUCGGGUCGUAAAGCCCUUUUGUUGGGAAAGAGAAGCAGCAGGUUAAUACCCCGCUGUUCUGACGGUACCCAAAGAAUAAGCACCGGCUAACUUCGUG